UUUGUUUUUUGUUUUUUGUUUUUUUCCAUUUACCUCAACAUUAGAGUGUAAGCUUUUAAAUGCAGAAAAUAAUAUUUCUAUUAUUUGUAUGCACAUGUCCUCAAAAAACUAUGGCAAUAUUGCAGACGACGGGAACUAAGAUGUCUGGGUAGAGCUACAAAGAAGAGAUACAUACAGUGAACACCUUCUUUGAAGGAUGGUGUAGAGUUGAGACACAUAUCCAAAGCAAAACAGGAACAUGGUGCAAAUCAAAUAGUAAGUGCAAAUUUGAUAAAGCUUGAAUUUAAAACACCAUGUAUGCUUUUGUACCUUUUUUGUUCCUAUAAAAGUUUUCUCAUUCCACA